UCCUCAUUGGUGGAUAGACAAGAUAUAAGGUUCCCCAACUGCCUAUACUGAGAGCAUAGAGGCACCACAUUUAUCAUCAAAGAUGGCAAAACUCUUCACCUUCUACAUUCUGCUUGUCAUCCUCGUCAUCAUCUGUGAUAAGAGAAUGGUACCCAUGGCAGAAGCAAAAGAUUGCCAUAAAGUUUGGAACUGCAAGGGAGAAAACCAUUGCUGGGAAGACUGUAGAAAUCGACACAGUGGAAAGGGAAUGUGCGACUUAUACACUGCACCGGGUGUUCCUAAACAGUGCUUUUGUGCAUUCAAGUGUUGAAUAAACUCCACCAACCAAACCUCUUGUCGAGUUUAAGUUCAAUGAAUAAACAUUAAUUAUAUACUUAAGUAGUACAUGCUAUGUUAUUCUCUAUGGAAGCAUGCACCUCAUCUCAAUUCCCCCUUGUCUUUUAAAUUUUUGUAGUGGUAAAGACCCACCUGUUAUGCUGUAAUUUUAACUGUACUGGAUGGUUGUGACUGCUUGUAAUUUACUGUCAUGAAUGAAGCUUUGUUUGCUUAGAAAA